rnacentral:rRNA from 1 species
UACGUAGGGUGCGAGCGUUGUCCGGAAUUAUUGGGCGUAAAGGGCUCGUAGGCGGUUUGUCGCGUCGGGAGUGAAAACCUUGGGCUUAACUCAGGGCUUGCUUUCGAUACGGGCAGACUAGAGGUAUGCAGGGGAGAACGGAAUUCCUGGUGUAGCGGUGAAAUGCGCAGAUAUCAGGAAGAACACCGGUGGCGAAGGCGGGUCUCUGGGCAACAACUGACGCUGAGGAGCGAAAGCGUGGGGAGCGAACAGG